rnacentral:rRNA from 1 species
AGUAAAAGUCGUAACAAGGUUUCCGUAGGUGAACCUGCGGAAGGAUCAUUACCGAGUGCGGGCCCUCUGGGUCCAACCUCCCAUCCGUGUCUAUCUGUACCCUGUUGCUUCGGCGUGGCCACGGCCCGCCGGAGACUAACAUUCGAACGCUGUCUGAAGUUUGCAGUCUGAGUUUUUAGUUAAACAAUCGUUAAAACUUUCAACAACGGAUCUCUUGGUUCUGGCAUCGAUGAAGAACGCAGCGAAAUGCGAUAAGUAAUGUGAAUUGCAGAAUUCAGUGAAUCAUCGAAUCUUUGAACGCACAUUGCGCCCAUUAGUAUUCUAGUGGGCAUGCCUGUUCGAGCGUCAUUUCAACCCUUAAGCCCCCGUUGCUUAGCGUUGGGAGCCUACGGCACUGUAGCUCCCCAAAGUUAGUGGCAGAGUCGGUUCACACUCUAGGCGUAGUAAAUUUUCACCUCGCCUGUAGUUGGACCGGUCCCUCGCCGUAAAACACCCUAAUUUUUACAAGGUUGACCUCGGAUCAGGUAGGGAUACCCGCUGAACUUAAGCAUAUCAAUAAGCGGAGGA